CUACUUAUGCCGGCGACCGGCGGACGGGUGCGUAACGCGUAUGUAACCUACCUUUGACAGGGGGAUAACAUCGAGAAAUUGGUACUAAUACCCCAUAACAUCACCGGAGGCAUCUUCGGUGGUUGAAAACUCAGGUGGUCAGAGAUGGACAUGCGUUGUAUUAGCUGGUUGGUAAGGUAACGGCUUACCAAGGCGACGAUACAUAGGGGGACUGAGAGGUUAACCCCCCACAUUGGUACUGAGACACGGACCAAACUCCUACGGAAGGCAGCAG
rnacentral:rRNA from 1 species